AUGAAGAUGUUGAUUCUUUUGGAAGGAGAGCAGAGAUGUACCAAAAUAUUUUUUUUCGAUGGGAAAGGAGCCGUCAAAUUUCAAGAAGUUCAAAGGUUGACUGUAGAGAUCAACAUGGCAAAUGAAAAAUGGGAUGCGCUCAUGCAGAGCAAGAUGCACCAAGAGAGCGCUAUUCGUGAGCUGAAGAUGGAAAUCGGGAGCCUCACUGAACAAAAUCACUCUUCCGAGCUGCUUAUACAACAACUCCGUGAUGGUGCUGAUCGACGGUGGUCGGCAAGGCGGCAGGAGGCGAAGAUGAUGACUGAUACGGUGGCCAACGGAUAA
rnacentral:rRNA from 1 species